GACCCAUAGGUUGAGAAGGCGGUGAACAUGGCGGUGGAGGAGGAGGAUGAGGUAGCCAACACUGUUUUUAUAUAUAAAUAUAUGAAUAUAUUUUAAUUGGGGUAGCCCCCGAAAUAUUUGGACAUAUAAAAAAGACAACUCUGUUCUGCAGAGUAGCUGUUGACAUUAUAGUUGUGCAGGCACUUUGUUGACUCUAGAGAACCUUGGGCCAAUCACACAUCCCCAUGGUGGCGAAUUUGCAUGCGGAUGUCAUCCAUAUCAACCUUCGAUGACAGAUUCUGUGCCUACCAUGGUGACCAUGGGUAACGGGGAAUCAGGGUUCCAUUCCGUACAGGGACCCUGAGAAAUGGCUACCACAUGCAAGGAAGGCAGCAAGUGCGCAAAUGACCCACUCCCGACGCGAGAAGGUAGUGACGACAAAUAACAAUACAGGACUCUUUAGAGGCCCUUCAAUUGUAAUGAGUUCACUUGAAAUCCUUUAACUCUGAUCAAUUGGAGGGAAGUCUGGUGCAGAGCCACUGACCCGUGCGUGCUGCAGCUGAAUCUCCACU